CAACGCGCAGAACCUUACCAGCCCUUGACAUCCCGGUCGCGGAUCGCAGAGAUGCUUCCUUCAGUUCGGCUGGACCGGUGACAGGUGCUGCAUGGCUGUCGUCAGCUCGUGUCGUGAGAUGUUGGGUUAAGUCCCGCAACGAGCGCAACCCCCGCCUUCAGUUGCCAACGGUUCGGCCGUGCACUCUGGAGGAACUGCCUGUGACAAGCAGGAGGAAGGUGGGGAUGACGUCAAGUCCUCAUGGCCCUUAUGGGCUGGGCUACACACGUGCUACAAUGGCGGUGACAGAGGGAUGCAAUACCGCGAGGUGGAGCAAAUCCCUAAAAGCCGUCUCAGUUCGGAUUGCACUCUGCAACUCGAGUGCAUGAAGUUGGAAUCGCUAGUAAUCGCGGAUCAGCACGCCGCGGUGAAUACGUUCCCGGGCCUU
rnacentral:rRNA from 1 species